AGCGAACGCUGGCGGCAGGCCUAACACAUGCAAGUCGAACGAAGCCUUCGGGCUUAGUGGCGGACGGGUGAGUAACACGUGGGAACGUACCUUUUGGUUCGGAAUAACGCAGAGAAAUUUGCGCUAAUACCGAAUGAGCCCUUCGGGGGAAAGAUUUAUCGCCGAAAGAUCGGCCCGCGUUGGAUUAGGUAGUUGGGGUGGUAAAGGCGCACCAAGCCUACGAUCCAUUGCUGGUCUGAGAGGAUGAUCAGCCACACUGGGACUGAGACACGGCCCAGACUCCUACGGGAGGCAGCAGUGGGGAAUCUUGCGCAAUGGGCGAAAGCCUGACGCAGCCAUGCCGCGUGAAUGAUGAAGGUCUUAGGAUUGUAAAAUUCUUUUACCAGGGACGAUAAUGACGGUACCUGGAGAAAAAGCCCCGGCUAACUUCGUGCCAGCAGCCGCGGUAACAC
rnacentral:rRNA from 1 species